rnacentral:rRNA from 1 species
ACAACGGGUGGAGCCUGCGGUUAAUUGGACUCAACGCCGGGCAGCUCACCGGAUAAGACAGCUGGAUGAUAGCCGGGCUGAAGACUCUGCUUGACUAGCUGAGAGGAGGUGCAUGGCCGUCGUCAGUUCGUACUGUGAAGCAUCCUGUUAAGUCAGGCAACGAGCGAGACCCACGCCAACAGUUGCCAGCAUGUCCUCCGGGAUGAUGGGGACACUGUUGGGACCGCCUCUGCUAAAGAGGAGGAAGGAAUGGGCAACGGUAGGUCAGCAUGCCCCGAAUUAUCCGGGCUACACGCGGGCUACAAUGGUCAGGACAAUGGGUAUCGACACCGAGAGGUGGAGGCAAUCUCCUAAACCUGUCCUUAGUUCGGAUUGUGGGCUGCAACUCGCCCACAUGAAGCUGGAAUCCGUAGUAAUCGCGUUUCAAAAUAGCGCGGUGAAUAUGUCCCUGCUCCUU